rnacentral:ncRNA from 1 species
GUUAUCAAGAAAGGCGGAGGGAAUAGACCCGGUGAAGCCUUGGCAACCCUUUUCCCAUAAAGAAGGUGCUACAUUCUAUCCUCAAAAGUAGGGCAGAUAA